rnacentral:tRNA from 1 species
GGCCCCAUGGUCAAGUGGUUAAGACACCGCCCUUUCACGGCGGUAACUGGGGUUCGAAUCCCCAUGGGGUCACCA